rnacentral:rRNA from 1 species
GAUGAACGCUAGCGGCAGGCCUAACACAUGCAAGUCGAGGGGGAUUAUGAUUGAAGCUUGCUUUAAUUAUAUGAGACCGGCGCACGGGUGCGUAACGCGUAUGCAACCUACCACUAACAGGGAGAUAACACCGAGAAAUUGGUACUAAUACCCCAUAAUACUUUGGAAGGCAUCUUUUGAAGUUGAAAGCUCCGGCGGUUAGUGAUGGGCAUGCGUUGUAUUAGAUAGGUGGUGAGGUAACGGCUAACCAAGUCGACGAUACAUAGGGGGAGUGAGAGGUUAGCCCCCCACACUGGUACUGAGACACGGACCAGACUCCUACGGGAGGCAGCAGUGAUGAAUAUUGGUCAAUGGACGCAAGUCUGAACCAGCCAUGCCGCGUGCGAGAUGACGGCUCUACGAGUUGUAAACUGCUUUUGUAUUAGGGUAAACGCAGAUACGUGUAUCUGUCUGAAAGUAUAGUACGAAUAAGGAUCGGCUAACUCCGUGCCAGCAGCCGCGGUAACAC